rnacentral:rRNA from 1 species
GACGAACGCUGGCGGCGUGCUUAACACAUGCAAGUCGAACGGAAAGGCCCCUUCGGGGGUACUCGAGUGGCGAACGGGUGAGUAACACGUGAGUAACCUGCCCUUGCCUUCGGGAUAACUUCAGGAAACUGGGGCUAAUACCGGAUAGGAAUCCUUGCUGCAUGGUGGGGGUUGGAAAGCUUCGGCGGUUUUGGAUGGACUCGCGGCUUAUCAGCUUGUUGGUGGGGUAGUGGCUUACCAAGGCUUUGACGGGUAGCCGGCCUGAGAGGGCGACCGGCCACAUUGGGACUGAGAGACGGCCCAGACGCCUACGGGAGGCAGCAGUGGGGAAGAUUGCACAAUGGGCGGAAGCCUGAUGCAGCAACGCCGCGGGCGGGAGGACGGCCUUCGGGUUGUAAACCGCUUUCAGCAGGGGCGAAGCUUGUGGUGACGGUACCUGCAGAAGAAGCACCGGCUAACUACGUG